rnacentral:rRNA from 1 species
GGACUACAGGGGUAUCUAAUCCUGUUUGCUCCCCACGCUUUCGUAUAUCAGUGUCAGUAUUUGACCAGAAAGUCGCCUUCGCCUCUGGUAUUCCUUCCGAUAUCUACGCAUUUCACCGCUACACCGGAAAUUCUACUUUCCUCUACAAUACUCUAGACAAAAAGUAUUAAAUGCAGUUCCUAAGUUGAGCUUAGGGAUUUCACAUUUAACUUUUUUAUCCACCUACACACCCUUUACGCCCAAUAAAUCCGAUUAACGCUCGCACUCUCUGUAUUACCGCGGCGGCUGGCAC